rnacentral:rRNA from 1 species
UGCAAGUCGAACGGUGAAGCAGAGCUUGCUCUGUGGAUCAGUGGCGAACGGGUGAGUAACACGUGAGCAAUCUGCCCCUGACUCUGGGAUAACAGUUGGAAACAGCUGCUAAUACCGGAUACGAGAUGUGACCGCAUGGUCGAUGUCUGGAAAGAAUUUCGGUCAGGGAUGAGCUCGCGGCCUAUCAGCUUGUUGGUGAGGUAAUGGCUCACCAAGGCGUCGACGGGUAGCCGGCCUGAGAGGGUGACCGGCCACACUGGGACUGAGACACGGCCCAGACUCCUACGGGAGGCAGCAGUGGGGAAUAUUGCACAAUGGGCGAAAGCCUGAUGCAGCAACGCCGCGUGAGGGACGACGGCCUUCGGGUUGUAAACCUCUUUUAGCAGGGAAGAAGCGAAAGUGACGGUACCUGCAGAAAAAGCGCCGGCUAACUACGUGCCAGCAGCCGCGGUAAUACGUAGGGCGCAAGCGUUAUCCGGAAUUAUUGGGCGUAAAGAGCUCGUAGGCGGUUUGUCGCGUCUGCUGUGAAAUCCCGAGGCUCAACCUCGGGUCUGCAGUGGGUACGGGCAGACUAGAGUGCGGUAGGGGAGAUUGGAAUUCCUGGUGUAGCGGUGGAAUGCGCAGAUAUCAGGAGGAACACCGAUGGCGAAGGCAGAUCUCUGGGCCGUAACUGACGCUGAGGAGCGAAAGGGUGGGGAGCAAACAGGCUUAGAUACCCUGGUAGUCCACCCCGUAAACGUUGGGAACUAGUUGUGGGGUCCAUUCCACGGAUUCCGUGACGCAGCUAACGCAUUAAGUUCCCCGCCUGGGGAGUACGGCCGCAAGGCUAAAACUCAAAUGAAUUGACGGGGACCCGCACAAGCGGCGGAGCAUGCGGAUUAAUUCGAUGCAACGCGAAGAACCUUACCAAGGCUUGACAUAUACGAGAACGGGCCAGAAAUGGUCAACUCUUUGGACACUCGUAAACAGGUGGUGCAUGGUUGUCGUCAGCUCGUGUCGUGAGAUGUUGGGUUAAGUCCCGCAACGAGCGCAACCCUCGUUCUAUGUUGCCAGCACGUAAUGGUGGGAACUCAUGGGAUACUGCCGGGGUCAACUCGGAGGAAGGUGGGGAUGACGUCAAAUCAUCAUGCCCCUUAUGUCUUGGGCUUCACGCAUGCUACAAUGGCCGGUACAAAGGGCUGCAAUACCGUGAGGUGGAGCGAAUCCCAAAAAGCCGGUCCCAGUUCGGAUUGAGGUCUGCAACUCGACCUCAUGAAGUCGGAGUCGCUAGUAAUCGCAGAUCAGCAACGCUGCGGUGAAUACGUUCCCGGGUCUUGUACACACCGCCCGUCAAGUCAUGAAAGUCGGUAACACCUGAAGCCGGUGGCCCAACCCUUGUGGAGGGAGCUGUCGAAGGUGGGAUCGGUAAUUAGGACUAAGUCGUAACAAGGUAAC